rnacentral:lncRNA from 1 species
UAUUGGGGCAUAGGGGCAUUAUGACACAUGGAGAUAGUUCUGAACUGGGCUGCACAACAGUUCUGCCACCUCCCUGUAGUCUGUCCCAGGGAGUUGACAGGUGCCUGCCCUGAGCCAAGACCCACUCGCAGAGGCCCUGGGCUGCCUCAGCUGCCUGUUUUAAUGAAUAGUUUUACUGGCACACAGCUGUACCCAUGUGUUUACAUACUGUUCUGUAGCUGCUUUGGUAUUAGAACUAGCUGGGAGGAUUGAGACAGACGCCAUGGCACAGACACAUAUGGUAUUUGCCACCUGUUCUUUUUCAGGGAACACUGCCUGUCUGUCUGCUUGGUUCUCUCUCUGUAGACUUGUGUACUACCUGGCUACAACAUGGGCACAUGGGGGAAGCCCUGCCAAUUAAGAAUGGCAAGAGUGACAAUUUAGCUGUACUGUGAAGACAUCAGUAGACAGAAUAUCCUUCCAACACUGAGCCAAACUGCUCUUCUUCACCAACAUACUACUGACCAUUUUACAGUUCAGGGGUGUGGCCAUCUUGGGACGCUUAAAUUAUCUCUUCCUUUAGAUUUAACCAAGCCAAAAAACAAAGGAAGCCUGUACAACAACUUAAACUUGAAAGGAAUAAUAUGCUACUACUACUAGUUUGUACUAAGUUUUUUUUUUUUCAAGAAAGGGAGUUAAGUUUAUAUAUAUGUGAUAUAUAUUUUUACACUAUUUUAUUAAUGUUAGGGAUAUGGAGUUUAUCACUUUAUCAGUGUGAUGGGUAAUGUUGAUGUCAUGGGUGUUCUGACUCAGAAAGACACUUAUACUGACAUCUAAGCCACACUUGCUCAGACUGUCUGUCAGGUCAGGAUGGCCCUGCUGUCCCUCCUAUAGAGCGCAAGGCGUCUAGUCACCUAGUUGGACAUAUGGCCUGGCUCAUAUUGCUUUAGUGAAACAGCUUGUGUCUUUUAUUUCGUUUAUUGUGUUUGCUGUUAUUAACAUUGUGUGUCAAGUUGGUAAAGUGAUGAAUAAAGGUUUUAAAAUAUG